GCCCUAGUGACGGCGAGUGAAGCGGCAACAGCUCAAAUUUGAAAUCUGGCCUUCGGGUCCGAGUUGUAAUUUGCAGAGGAUGCUUUUGGUGAGGUGCCUUCCGAGUUCCCUGGAACGGGACGCCAUAGAGGGUGAGAGCCCCGUCUGGUCGGACACCAAUCCUUUGUAAAGCUCCUUCGACGAGUCGAGUAGUUUGGGAAUGCUGCUCUAAAUGGGAGGUAUAUGUCUUCUAAAGCUAAAUACCGGCCAGAGACCGAUAGCGCACAAGUAGAGUGAUCGAAAGAUGAAAAGCACUUUGAAAAGAGAGUUAAACAGUACGUGAAAUUGUUGAAAGGGAAGCGCUCAUGACCAGACUUGGGCUUGGUUGAUCAACUUGGGUUCUCCCGGGUGCACUCUUCCUCGUCCAGGCCAGCAUCAGUUCGCUGCGGGGGAUAAAGGUUUCGGGAAUGUGGCUCCCUCGGGAGUGUUAUAGCCCGUUGCGUAAUACCCUGCGGUGGACUGAGGUCCGCGCAUCUGCUAGGAUGCUGGCGUAAUGGUCAUCAGCGACCCGUCUUGAAACACGGACCAAGGAGUCGUCUUCGUAUGCGAGUGUUCGGGUGUUAAACCCCUACGC
rnacentral:rRNA from 1 species